rnacentral:rRNA from 1 species
AACGAACGCUGGCGGCAGGCUUAACACAUGCAAGUCGAACGCCCCGCAAGGGGAGUGGCAGACGGGUGAGUAACGCGUGGGAACAUACCCUUUCCUGCGGAAUAGUUCCGGGAAACUGGAAUUAAUACCGCAUACGCCCUACGGGGGAAAGAUUUAUCGGGGAAGGAUUGGCCCGCGUUGGAUUAGCUAGUUGGUGGGGUAAAGGCCUACCAAGGCGACGAUCCAUAGCUGGUCUGAGAGGAUGAUCAGCCACAUUGGGACUGAGACACGGCCCAAACUCCUACGGGAGGCAGCAGUGGGGAAUAUUGGACAAUGGGCGCAAGCCUGAUCCAGCCAUGCCGCGUGAGUGAUGAAGGCCUUAGGGUUGUAAAGCUCUUUCACCGAUGAAGAUAAUGACGGUAGUCGGAGAAGAAGCCCCGGCUAACUUCGUG